rnacentral:rRNA from 1 species
GUGGGGAAUAUUGCACAAUGGGGGAAACCCUGAUGCAGCGACGCCGCGUGAGUGAAGAAGUAUUUCGGUAUGUAAAGCUCUAUCAGCAGGGAAGAAAUUGACGGUACCUGACUAAGAAGCCCCGGCUAACUACGUGCCAGCAGCCGCGGUAAUACGUAGGGGGCAAGCGUUAUCCGGAUUUACUGGGUGUAAAGGGAGCGUAGACGGCAUGGCAAGUCAGAUGUGAAAACCCGGGGCUUAACCCCGGGAUUGCAUUUGAAACUGUCAGGCUGGAGUGCGGGAGAGGUAAGUGGAAUUCCUAGUGUAGCGGUGAAAUGCGUAGAUAUUAGGAGGAACACCAGUGGCGAAGGCGGCUUACUGGACCGUAACUGACGUUGAGGCUCGAAAGCGUGGGGAGCAAACAGGAUUAGAUACCCGAGUAGUCC